UAAAUAUUAAUCUUAUAUAAAAAUAUAAUAAUAAUAUAUUUAUAUAUUAUAUAAUUAUAUAAACAAAAUAUAAUUUAUAUAUAAUUAUUUAUUAUAAAUAUAGUCCGGCCCGCCCCGCGGGGGCGGACCCCGAAGGAGUGAGGGACCCCUCCCCAACGGGAGGGGGACCGAACCCC
rnacentral:RNase_MRP_RNA from 1 species